rnacentral:rRNA from 1 species
UGCACGUCUCAGUGCAAGCCAAUAAAAGGUGAAACCGCGAAUGGCUCAGUAAAUCAGUUAUGGUUCAUUGGAUGAUGCCAGUUACAUGGAUAACUGUGGCAAUUCUAGAGCUAAUACAUGCAACUAAGUCCCGACCGGAGACGGAAGGGAUGCUUUUAUUAGAUCAAAACCAAUCGGUCCUUCGGGUCCGUUUGCUUUGGUGACUCUGGGUAAAUUGCCGCUGAUCGCACGGUCCUUGCACCGGCGACGCAUCUUUCAAAUGUCUGCCUUAUCAACUUGCGAUGGUAGGCUAUGCGCCUACCAUGGUUAUAACGGGUGACGGGGAAUCAGGGUUCGAUUCCGGAGAGGGAGCCUGAGAAACGGCUACCACAUCUAAGGAAGGCAGCAGGCGCGCAAAUUACCCACUCCCGGCACGGGGAGGUAGUGACAAUAAAUAACGAUACGGGACUCAUCCGAGGCCCCGUAAUCGGAAUGAGUACACUUUAAACGCUUUAACGAGUACCCAUUGGAGGGAAAGUCUGGUGCCAGCAGCCGCGGUAAUUCCAGCUCCAAUAGCGUAUAUUAAAAUUGUUGCGGUUAAAAAGCUCGUAGUCGGAAGUGUGUCCCACGCUGCCGGUUCACAGCCCGUCUGUGUCUAACUGGCAUGCAGUGCGGACGUCCUGACGGUGGCUCAAGCCUGAUCGGGGGAAAUCCGGCUGUUGGUAAGCGCAGUGGCCCAAAGGCCCAAGACCUACCUUGCGACGCGUACUGUACGCCCGCACAGGAUAGCGUGUUGGGACCUGCGGUGUUCGGUGCGCCCCACUCCGGCCCCGGUCGACGGUGAGAGCCUAUGUGCGACCCGUCGCUGGUGCUCUUUACCGAGUGUCACGGUGGGCCGUCACUUUUACUUUGAACAAAUUAGAGUGCUUAAAGCAGGCAAACACAGGCCAGAAUACUGAGUGCAUGGAAUAAUAAAAUAGGACCUCGGUUCUAUUUUGUUGGUUUUCUGAAUCCCGAGGUAAUGGUCAAUAGGGACGGCCGGGGGCAUCCGUAUUGAGACGUUAGAGGUGAAAUUCUUGGAUCGUCUCAAGACGUUCAAAAGCGAAAGCAUUUGCCAAGAAUGUUUUCUCUGAUCAAGAACGAAAGUUAGAGGUUCGAAGGCGAUCAGAUACCGCCCUAGUUCUAACCAUAAAUUAUGCCAGCCAGCAAUCCGCCGUGUUCCUCCGAUGACUCGGCGGGCGGCUUACCCCGGGAAACCACAGCUAGGUUCCGGGGGAAGUAUGGUUGCAAAGCUGAAACUUAAAGGAAUUGACGGAAGGGCACCACAAGACGUGGGUCUUGCGGCUUAAUUUGACUCAACACGGGAAAACUUACCAGGCCAGGACACUGAGAGGAUUGACAGAUUGAUAGCUCUUUCUUGAUUCAGUGGGUGGUGGUGCAUGGCCGUUCUUAGUUGGUGGAGUGAUUUGUCUGCUUAAUUGCGAUAACGAACGAGACUCUAGCCUACUAAAUAGUCGACCCGCAUCCUUUGCGCUGUGGGCGACAAAAUACCUUCUUAGAGGGACAGGCGGCUCUUAGCCGCACGAGAUUGAGCAAUAACAGGUCUGAGAUGCCCUUAGAUGUCCUGGGCCGCACGCGUGCCACAAUGAAGGAGUCAGCGUGUCUUCCCUGUCCGAGAGGACUGGGUAACCCGUUGAACCUCCUUCGUGCUUGGGACUGGGGAUUGCAAUUAUUCCCCAUGAACGAGGAAUGUCAAGUAAGCGCGAGUCAUUAAGCUCGCGCUGAUUACGUCCCUGCCCUUUGUACACACCGCCCGUCGCUACUACCGAUUGAAUGAUUUAGUGAGGACUUUGGACCGGAGGACCGUGAGGGGCUUUCGCCCGCUUUCGGUUCCUACCCGUGGAAGAUGUCCGAACUUGAUCAUUUAGAGGAAGUAAAAGUCGUAACAAGGUUUUCGU